CACAGCACUGCCUGGUCAGAA
rnacentral:miRNA from 1 species